rnacentral:lncRNA from 1 species
CGCUGGAAUUCAAACAACCACCACCAACAUACAACACAGGCUUCUUAGACUCCGAAAUCAACCUAACAAUCUGCUCCAAAUGAGAAUCUUCCGGAGGUUUAGGCAUCCUAGACAUAUAACCAGGUAAUCUCAUAGCCUGUUCCCAAUUAGGAAUCGCAAGCUGUUGUUGAAUAUCUUUAGGAACAUCAACCAAAACAGGUCCAGGUCUACCAGAAGUAGCUAAAAAGAAAGCUUCCUCAAUAAUCCUAGGAAUAUCUUCAACAUCCAUCACAAGAUAGUUAUGCUUCGUAAUCGAACGCGUAACCUCAACAAUCGGAGUUUCUUGAAACGCAUCAGUACCAAUCAUCCUACGAGGGACUUGACCUGUGAUUGCUACAAGAGGAACACUAUCUAACAAGGCAUCGGCUAAUCCGCUAACGAGAUUUGUAGCUCCGGGACCUGAAGUGGCUAUACAGAUACCUGGUUUACCUGAGGAUCGAGCGUAUCCUUCGGCGGCGAAAACACCUCCUUGUUCGUGACGAGGAAGGACGUUA